GACGAACCGUGCGAACGUUAUUCGGAAUCACUGGGCUUAAAGCGCGUGUAGGCGGGACGGCACGUCGGUCGCUGAAAUCCCCCGGCUCAACCGGGGAACGGGCGCCGAUACGACCGUCCUGGAGGGACGUAGGGGGACCUGGAACUUCCGGUGGAGCGGUGAAAUGCGUUGAGAUCGGAAGGAACGCCCGUGGCGAAAGCGAGGUCCUGGACGUUUACUGACGCUGAGACGCGAAAGCGUGGGGAGCGAACAGG
rnacentral:rRNA from 1 species